rnacentral:rRNA from 1 species
CGACGUGCUGGGCGGGAUUAGUGGCGAACGGGUGAGUAACACGUGAGUAACCUGCCCUUGACUCUGGGAUAAGCCUGGGAAACUGGGUCUAAUACCGGAUAUGACUGCUCCGCGCAUGCGGUGGUGGUGGAAAGCUUUUGCGGUUUUGGAUGGACUCGCGGCCUAUCAGCUUGUUGGUGGGGUAAUGGCCUACCAAGGCGACGACGGGUAGCCGGCCUGAGAGGGUGACCGGCCACACUGGGACUGAGACACGGCCCAGACUCCUACGGGAGGCAGCAGUGGGGAAUAUUGCACAAUGGGCGAAAGCCUGAUGCAGCGACGCCGCGUGAGGGAUGACGGCCUUCGGGUUGUAAACCUCUUUCAGUAGGGAAGAAGCGUAAGUGACGGUACCUGCAGAAGAAGCGCCGGCUAACUACGUGCCAGCAGCCGCGGUAAUACGUAGGGCGCAAGCGUUAUCCGGAAUUAUUGGGCGUAAAGAGCUCGUAGGCGGUUUGUCGCGUCUGCUGUGAAAGACCGGGGCUCAACUCCGGUUCUGCAGUGGGUACGGGCAGACUAGAGUGAUGUAGGGGAGACUGGAAUUCCUGGUGUAGCGGUGAAAUGCGCAGAUAUCAGGAGGAACACCGAUGGCGAAGGCAGGUCUCUGGGCAUUAACUGACGCUGAGGAGCGAAAGCAUGGGGAGCGAACAGGAUUAGAUACCCUGGUAGUCCAUGCCGUAAACGUUGGGCACUAGGUGUGGGGGACAUUCCACGUUUUCCGCGCCGUAGCUAACGCAUUAAGUGCCCCGCCUGGGGAGUACGGCCGCAAGGCUAAAACUCAAAGGAAUUGACGGGGGCCCGCACAAGCGGCGGAGCAUGCGGAUUAAUUCGAUGCAACGCGAAGAACCUUACCAAGGCUUGACAUGAACUAGUAAAGCGCAGAAAUGUGUUCCCCUCUUGAGGCUGGUUUACAGGUGGUGCAUGGUGUCGUCAGCUCGUGUCGUGAGAUGUG